rnacentral:tRNA from 1 species
AAAAAGUUAGUUAAUUAAUAACAUUAAAAUGUCAUUUUAAAAUUAUUAAAAUAUUUUAAUAUUUUUUA